UAAUACGGAGGGUGCAAGCGUUGUUCGGAAUUAUUGGGCGUAAAGCGGGCGCAGGCGGUCGUGCAAGUCGGAUGUGAAAUCCCUGGGCUCAACCCAGGAACUGCAUUCGAAACUGUACGACUAGAGUCUCGGAGAGGGUGGCGGAAUUCCCGGUGUAGAGGUGAAAUUCGUAGAUAUCGGGAGGAACACCAGUGGCGAAGGCGGCCACCUGGACGAUGACUGACGCUCAGGUCCGAAAGCGUGGGGAGCAAACAGGAUUAGAUACCCUGGUAGUCCACGCCGUAAACGUUGGGUGCUCGUCGUAGCGGGUAUUGACCCCUGCUGUGACCAAGCUAACGCAUGAAGCACCCCGCCUGGGGAGUACGGUCGCAAGACUA
rnacentral:rRNA from 1 species